UCCUCCUGAUGCUGGGGUCCUCCGGCAUUCCUCCCUGAGCCCCCCAAGGGCCCUGAAGCUCAGCGGCCCAGCCCUGGCCUCGGGGUCCCCACCCCACACCUCCCUUCCAGGCCUAACCUUUGCCCCCGACACCAGGCAGGGCGUGUCCUUGGCCUUCGCCGCCCAGCCCGCGUGGCAUCUCUGGACAGGUGGUCGUGCGCGCCUUGGUGUGGGCAGGCUCCGUAGCCGGCAAAGCCUCCCUGAACCGUGACCUGGUGAGAAGGCCGCAGAGGAGGUGCCUGUGCCCAGAGGCCACCUCCAAAGACCCCACCUGAGGCUGGAACCCAGCGCCUGCUGACCCCGCCAGCCCCAACAGGGCUGGAGUCCAGGAGCGGCCGUGCUCUUUCCGCAGUGAGGCAGCUGCCUUCUCUUCCCACCACCUGUCAGGAUGCCUUCCCGUGUGUGCUUGUGCACAGGUCUAAGGAGAGGAGAGUCCAGUGAGUGACCCAGACGCCCCAGCCAGGAAGAGCAUGAGGUGCGAAGGGGGCUUCCCAGAUGGAGAGAAACAGAUGGUCCCAGAGUGGCUUGGAGACAGGUGCAACAUCAGUGUUGGGGGAGGACAUGGAGCGGAGCGUUCAGGGCUAUCAGGAGGGAGCCCCGUGGCCACGGUGCAAGAUCUAGGCAGGCGGGACAGACAUGGUCAGGAUGCUGGGGACACAGCAUGGGGAAUCCAGCACACAGGACACCAUCCAGCAGGAAAGCAAAGCUGCAGCCUGAGAUCUCCUUCCACCAACUCCUGGCAUGGCCAGAAAGUUAGCCAGAAACACCAGAAAGUGCCAGGCAGCUAGGAAGCAUGGGGAGAGCCCCCUGAAGCUGCGUGUGUAGUGCCUGCUUCCGCUGCCAUCCCAGAAAUGGACGAGCUUCACCCUGAGAACCCAGCCACACCACUGGGACACAUCCUGACAGUGACAUGCACACUCUUCCCUGGCCCCAGCCUGGAGAGGAGCCUCCUGAAGACACCAGCCUUUGCUCCUUCUCCCAGUGGGAGUGGAGAGAACUGACUGCUGGAGUGGAGACAGUCAAGGCUGUCCUUCUGAGGGAGCACAGCACAGGGUCUGGUGUCCCAGGGAGGCAAUCUGAAAUUCAAGCCAGGCCUCCCCAGCGGAGAGGACACACCCCUCACCAUGCAGAGUGACGUUUAGUAAACUCUCAAAAGAGAGCACAGAGCCCCACUCCUCCAGCCGACCCAUACUCUGCCUCCCCACUCCAGACCAGUGAACAAGGUGGAUUGCCCUUAAGCCAGCUCAGAGGCAAAGUCCAAAGACCUCAGGUGAGUCAAACAAUAAAAACAAAGAAUUAAGAAGAAUCCAGCUGGGUGCGGUGGCUCACGCCUGUAAUCCCAGCACUUUGGGAGGCUGAGGCGGGAGGAUCACGAGCAGGAGGUCGAGACCAUCC
rnacentral:lncRNA from 1 species